rnacentral:snRNA from 1 species
AGCUUUGCGCAGUGACAUUAUCGUAGCCAAUGAGGUUUAUCUGAGGCGUGAUUAUUGCUAAUUGAAAACUUUUCAAGUA